rnacentral:lncRNA from 1 species
GAAGUGCUGUAAUUUGUUACCUGUUUCAUCGUUUACAUCAUGGUAUAGUGGUAAACAUCGUGGCCAUCUUGGGCGAAAGUUGUGGUCUUGUGGACCAUUCCCAGGUAAAAGUGUCGUAACUCAUCGUAUUGUUGUUUUUUUUACUUUUUUUGCCAUUAUCUUUUCCAAAAGUCUUCAAAUUGCUCCUCAUAACAACUUAAUACUCAUAGUUUGAUAAUAUUUUGUAUAUUUGGACAAUUUUGAGUCGAUUUGACCAACGAUGACGAGGGCAUGAACAACGAUGUAUAACGAUGAAGAGAAUCUUAUGUAGGGUGAAAUCCAAAAAAUCUACAUACAGCUAGUGCAACGGGAAAUGGAAUAUUUAAGUAUUGACAAUUGUAUUUUUUUUACCUAUUUCAUCGUUGACAUCAUGGUAUAGUGGUAACCACCGUGGCCAUCAUGAGCGAAAGUUGUGGAGCAUUCCCAACUAAAAGUCUCAUAACUUUUCGUAUAAUUUUUUCUUUAUUUCUUUUUGCCGUUAUUUUAGUCUCCAAGUCGUUCUUCAUAACAGCUUAAUACUCAUAUUUUGAUAAUACUUUGUAUAUUUAGACAAUUUUGAAUCGAUUUAACUGAACGACGCGAUGUAGAGAAUUCUUAUGCGGGUGAAAUCGAAAUAUACCAUCUACAGUACAGCAAUAAACACUAUAUUGAAGUGCUGUAAUUUGUUACCUGUUCCAUCGUUGACAUUAUGGUAUAGUGGUAAACAUCGUGGCCAUCUUGGGCGAAAGUUGUGGACCAUUCCCAGGUAAAAGUGUCUUAACUUUUCGUAUUGUUUUUUUUUACUUUUUUUCCAUUAUUUUUUCCAAAAGUCUUCAAAUUGCUCCUCGUAACAGCUUAAUGCUCAUAUUUUGAUAAUAUUUUGUAUAUUUGGACAAUUUUGAGUCGAUUUGACCAACGAUGACGAGGGCGUGAACAACGAUGUAUAGCGAUGAAGAGAAUCUUAUGUAGGGUGAAAUCCAAAAAAUCUACAAACAGCUAGUACAACGGGAAAUAGAAUAUUUAAGUAUUCACUAUUGUAAUUUGUUACCUGUUUCAUCGUUGACAUCCUGGUAUAGUGGUAAACACCCUGGCCAUAAUGAGCGAAAGUUGUGGAGCAUUCCCAGCUAAAAGUCUCAUAACUUUGCGUAUAAUUUUUUCUUUAUUUCUUUUUGCCGUUAUUUAGUCUCCAAGUCGCUCUUCAUGACAGCUUAAUAAUCAUAUUUUGAUAAUACUUUGUAUAUUUAGACAAUUUUGAAUCGAUUUAACUGAACGACGCGAUGUAGAGAAUUCUUAUGCGGGGUGAAUAUACUAUCUACAGUACAGCAAUAAACACAACAUUGAAGUGCUGUAAUUUGUUACCUGUUUCAUCGUUGACAUCCUGGUAUAGCGGUAAACAUCGUGGCCAUCUUCGGCGAAAGUUGUGGACCAUUCCCAGGUAAAAGUCUCGUAACUUUUCGUAUAAUUUUUUUUAAACUUUUUUUUUUCAUUAUUUUUUCCAAAAGUCUUCAAAUAGCUCCACAUAACAGCUUAAUACUCAUAUUUUGAUAAUAUUUUGUAUAUUUGGACAAUUUUGAGUCGACUUGACCAACGAUGACGAGGGCAUGAACAACGAUGUAUAACGAUGAAGAGAAUCUUAUGUAGGGUGAAAUACAAAAAAUCUACAUACAGCUAGUACAACGGGAAAUAGAAUAUUUAAGUUUGACUAUUGUAUUUUUUUUACCUAGUUCAUCGUUGACAUCAUGGUAUAGUGGUAAACACCGUGGCCAUCAUGAGCGAAAGUUGUAGACCAUUCCCAGGUAAAAGUCUCGUAACUUGUUAGUCUUGUUUUUUUUUACUUUUUUUGCCAUCAUUUUUUCCAAAAGUCUCCAAAUUAUAUUUUGAUAAUACAUUGUAUAGUAAAUACGUGAUUCUUAUAAGCACACUAAAAGAAACAUAUAUAAUCGUGCGUUUGACACUCCAAAAUAUACCCGGGAUUCUCAUAAGCACGCUAAAAGUUAAUAUUAUGCUCUGUUCUAUUGAAAUUCAGAAACGGCAAGAACUUGAAUUUACCACGGUCUGAAAAUUGUAUUAUUGGAAUCUACGGUGAAUAGGCUUUCUGUCGAUGGCUCAGUCAUUCUUGCAUAACAAGGGAGUCCGUCUGCAUCGAAAAAGACAUGAAAGAAGCGUAAAUGAGCGUGCUCAUGAGACUCCAAAAUACGGUAUUUUCAUAAGCACGCUAAAAGUUAAUAUUAUGCUCUUUCGAAUUUGAUGUUCUAUUGAAUUUCAAGGCCCCUUGUAGCAAAAAUCUGAAUUUGCGCCCAUCUGAAAAUUGUAUUUUUAGAAUCUACGUUUAAUAGGCUUUUUGACGAUGCCUAAUUCUUGCAUAACAAGACAGUCCGUAAUCGAAAAAGACGUGAAACAAGCAUAUAUGCAUGAGCGUGCUCAUGAGCCACCAAAAUACGAGAUUUUCAUAAACACGCUUAAACAAGCAUAUAUAUGUAUAUAUGAUCGUGUUUAUGAGACGCCAUGCAUACAAGUCAUACUUACUAACUUGACUUGUACUUACUGAUUGGAUGUACUUACUGAUUGGAUCUCUUCGAGCCAGGCUCAAC